rfam:Gossypium raimondii Chr05_contig_468, whole genome shotgun sequence.
GUCCCAUGAUGAGGACACUUACGAAGUACCUCCUUGAAUCGCUCCUAAGCCUCAUAUAAAGACUCGUCAUCCACUUUGGAAAGUUGUGAUCUCGUUCCUUAACUU